rnacentral:misc_RNA from 1 species
GAUGAAGAACGCAGUGAAAUGCGAUACUUGGUGUGAAUUGCAGAAUCCCGCGAAUCAUCGAGUUUUUGAACGCAAGUUGCGCCCGAAGCCAUUCGGCCGAGGGCACGUCUGCCUGGGUGUCACGCAUCGUUGCCCCCCCAAACUCCGGUUCGGGCGGGGCGGAAGUUGGCCUCCCGUGCGUGCCUGCGCGCGCGGUUAGCCCAAAAGCGAGUCCUCGGCGACGAGCGCCACGACAAUCGGUGGUUUUUUUACCCUCGUUCCUCGUCGUGCGUGUCCCGUCGCCCGAACGCGCUCUUGCGACCCUCACGCGUCGCCUCGGCGGCGCUCCCAACGCGACCCCAGGUCAGGCGGGACUACCCGCUGAGUUUAAGCAUAUCAAUAAGCGGAGGA